UGAACAUCAGAGAAAGGUGAUGGCAAACCUUCUCUAAAGAAAUAUUGCCAAAGGGAGUAAUUUUAGUCUUGUUGUGUCAGAUGAGACCACAAGUCCCCGCUUAUCCCUGGAAACCCUUUGGGUGAUCUUGGCCAAGCCCUACUCUUAGUCUCAGAAGAGGGUCUCCUCUGAAGACAUGUCAUUAAGAAUGAUGGGAUCACAUUAAAAUGGACUCAAUUGGAAGUCCUAUGAGAACAGUCCUACCAGCAGAUUGUUGGGUCCACAUCUGAAGACUGAAGCUUCUAUGUUUACCAAAACGAGAGCCCAGUUUCCACCAGAUUGGCAGCUCAGCAUCAGAACAAAGGAGAAGGAGAAGCUCUCUGCUCUACUGGAUGAACAUACAAGGGAUGGAAGAUGCCUCUUUGCCGGAGCAGCCUGAAUAAACGUUCAGAGGCAGCGGAGGAUCAGAUCUUAAUCCCGCCUUACACCAUCCUUGGCCAGAUAACACUUUUAUGGAGGUCCACCAGCCUUCAUUUACUGGGACUUGUGAGCUGAAAUGAUGAAUGUCCUCCCAAGGUGGUCCUUCAUAGUGACCUUUGAUGUGUCCACCGUCCAUGGAUGAAAGAUGGAGUCUCCAUUCCCUCUCAUGAGGCGUCCAUAAGGAGACCUUGACCAGGAGGACUUGGCUUUGAGGCGGUCAAUGGCAUUUUUCAUGAUAAUUGGUGCAUUUUGCAGGGAAAGGGCAAGAUGGAUGGUGGGCCGAGAUAAUAGGCACCGCCGGACCCUUAAAUCAUGGCCGGGCAACUUGCAGGUUGCCUGCUUCCCAAACUUUCCGAAAGGGAAGGAAACAUCUGGAGGCGGCACUGUUUGUUCUGGAUGUUGCUCCGAUGAAUGAUGCACUCAGACAAUUUUCUGCCUUAUCAUAAAUUCCGCAAACUCAUGAACUUUGCAAUCUCUCAAGCUCGGCUCUAUCUGGGAACCACUUAUCUUCUGCUGAAAGCAAUAUAAAAACAGAUGGCAAAGAUUGCAUCGAGUGAUAAAUCAAUGGCACUCCUGCCACUUGCUUGGCGGACGGACUGGCAGAGACUCCCAAGUUGAGACCGAAAAACACGUUCGGAUGGCGAGGAGAAGGCGGAGCGGACGGGGCGGAAGGAGGGGACUCAAUCUCAGGGGAGCACAGACUCUAAAUUGAGAUUUUGCGGGACCUGUGCAUUUCAAGACGGAUGGCGAGGAUCACCACAGGAGGUUCUUCUACAUCAUGCGUUGGCAAACUUGGACUUCAACUCCCACCAUUUCUAACAGCCUCAGGCCCUUUCCUUUCCCCCCUAAGCCACUUAAGCAAAUUUAUGGUGUUGUAAAUUAGUUAAAUUAGCCUCCCCGCAUAAAGCAGUACCUAAAUUUCCUACUUGACAGAUGCAACUGUCUUUCGGGCUGCUUCGGUCAACAGCGAGCUAGGCUAUUAUCCUUCAACUACCCUGGUUGGUUUUACCAGGGCUGUCACGCAGCUGGUUAGUAGCCUGCUGCAAUAAAUCACUACUGACCAAGAGGUCAUGAGAUCAAAGCCUGGGUCGGAUUAAUAAUAGCCUGGCUCACUGUUGACCUAAGCAGCCUGAAAGACAGUUGCAUCUGUCAAGUAGGAAAUUUAGGUAUCGCUUUAUGCGGGGAGGAUAAUAUAACUAAUUUACAAUACCAUAAAAUUGCCAGCAGCGCACGGAAAGGAAUGAGGAAGUACUACCAUCAAGGACUCAGUGUCACAAAUGGACCAUGAAGCAGCAGCUCCUCCUGUGGCUGGAAUCAAGCAUACCCUCAUGAAGCCGGAGGCUGGAAAAUGUUAAAAUUGCCUCUACUGUCUGUCUGCACAUGUUGUAUGUCUAAUAAUGGCACUGAAUAUUUUCCAUGUAUAUGUGCAUUGUAAUCCGCCCUGAGUCCCAUUUGGGGUGAGAAAGAAAGACAGAAUAGAAAUACUGUAAACAAAUAAAUAAUAAAUUUA